GCGCCCAGUUCUGCGCCUCCCACUCGUUCUUUCCCUCUGGAUAGAAAAAAUAAAAAGGGCUCCCUGCUGCACCAGUUGAUCACUAGAGCAGGGGAGAGGGGGGGGUGAGGCGCGGUGAGGUUAAAAGGAUGAUGGGUAUCCUCUGGCACUCAAAAGAUUAAGCACCUUAUACUGAACUAAUGCACUUUAUUGAGAUGGGAUUUGAAUAGUUUUUCUUUUUGUUCGUGUGUGUGUGUAUGCGUGCUGUUCAGAAUCAGCGCGCAUAUGGUGUGUGUACAUGCACAUUAUCGGCGUGCGCAGCAGAACUGGAAGGGGGCGGUGAAAACAGCGAGCAGGGCCGAGCGGGCGGGACGUUAGGUUUUCAAAUUCAGGGGGACCUUUAGUUGAAACCUUAUCAGAGAGCAAAUCCUUUCUCAAAAGACAAACACUGUUGAUAUUUCUCUUGUUUAGCAUUUUUUUUUUUUUUUUGGUUCUGUUUUUUACGUUUAUAUAAAAAGUAAAGCUAUUGAAAAAUGGAUUAUAAAAAAAAAACUUGAAGAUUUGCACUUGCCUAAAAAAACGAAAUAAGAAAAACGACAAAAAAAACAAAACAGAUGGGGUUAGUUAUAGAAGUGAAUAUUUUUGUGAAUGUGUAUGAGCGACUGGGAGUGGCUGAUGUGUGGCGGCUGAGUUGUGUCAGUAAUAAACAGUCUGCACAAGUUUUUUUUCUUUUGUUGCUUACCAAGAUGUAUGAAACAUAAGAGGCCAUUUUUGUCUUUUCUGUUUGGAUAGUCAUUUUGUAUUCAUGUUUAGAGUGUGUGUGUAUGUGGUCCUUUCCAGACAAGGAUGUGUGUGUGUUAUGGGUGUGACUGAAUGCUCGUGUGUGUGUGUGUGUGUCUGUGUGUGUGUGUGUGUGUGUGUAUGAGAGAGAGGGCAAUUGCACAACACAUCCUUUCUCUCACCAGCUCUUCAUCCCCUGAUAGAAAACCAGAAAUGCAUAUAUUUGUAAAUGUUAGCUUUGCUCUCAUCACAUGACGACCACCACUAGUUUAUUUCCCUGAGCUUCUCCCCAUGGGGAGCCGUCUCUAGACCUGGAAGGGACUAAGCAGACGUGGCGAAUCAUGAGGGACAUUACUGUGUGCGCAUGCGAGUGAGAUUUUCAGUGUGCGUGUUUAGAGUACAUGUUCAUUUACUGUUCAUAGAAAUGAGUUAAAACUACAGGUACUCAUUUUUCUUGUUGUUGUUAUUUUCUUGUAUGUGUAUGAAUGCACAUUUGUGCCUAAGAACUUGGAUAGGGUGCAUGGCCAUCGAGACAUUAACUCUUUUUUGAGAGCGAGUGUGGUGCGUGUCAGUGCUCAGCACAGUGUAUGUAAAGUAUGUACGUUUCUAUGGUAAAUAUUUCUAGUUGAGUCUAGGGGUGAUCCAUCGGAAGGCUUAGUCCAGCGUGUUUUUCCUGGGGGUGUGAUCACGUUGCCUUUUGUCAGCUCUCGAACUUGUGAAUGAAAGGUGUCGAGUUUCUGACUCUGAAAUACAAAAAACCACAAAAAAACAAUUAAAAAAUACAGCAUCUUAAUGUGCGAGUGCACAGAACGGUGCAUGAAAUGUUAGCAUAUUGUGUUACAUAUUCGUUGUUGCAAUUUGAUAAUGACGAGUUUUCUUUUUUAAAUGAAAAAUAUAUAUAAAUAUAUACAUUAUAUACAAAGUUUAAAAGUAUUUGGACUAAGAUGAGCACUUGGGGCUGCUAUUUUUGUUGUGUGUUUUUAAUUUUCUUUUCCUUAAUUUUUUUUUUCCAUUUUUUGCCAUGUGAAGUGUGUAUUAUUUUUCUUUUCUUAAGAAAAUAUUGAAUGUAUUCCAAAAAAAAAAUGACAAGAAACCCGUGCUGAUACAAGAUUUUGUUUUUGUUCCUCAGAAGAUUUCAAAAAUGGAAACAAAACCGAAAAAAGCUUCAAAGAGUUGAGCGGGGUCUUUUUUUUUUUUUUUCUUUUUUUUCAUUUACACAGUGGAGGAGAGAGACAAACUCGAGAUGGAUACAGUUGAACACACUGCCUCUACAAUCCUGGUCGUACAAAUGGUGACUAAAGAAAGGACUCUUUCUAUUCCAUACUGGAGCUUUGGUUGUUUACAAGCCACAUGGAUAUCUGUGGGUGCAGUUUUAUUCUUUUGUUUUAUCUUUUUUUGUUCCCACAUGAGACGGGUGGGGUUUGCAAGUGCGCUUCUGCCAUAAGGACAUUGAGUGGUGUGGUGGUGUUUUUGUUUAUUUUGGUUCGUUGUUUUUGAGGAAGAGUGGCAGGCAUCACAACAACAUGGACAGGAUCCUCUAACUAGAUCUGUGUCGUGGGUCCUGAGACUUGAUCAGCCGUGGAGCGGAGGCAGAAAAAUCAAGGAUGGGGCUGUGUUUUGUGGAGAACCGAGUGCAGGGCUGCAAACCCUGGAGGGGGAACUUGAGAGGACGGUAUGAGCGCACCCGCUCGGUGCUCUCGUCUUCACCUCGGCCCUCGAAAGCACUCGCACCCUGCCCUCACCGACUCACCUAUGCACUUUUGUUCAUUCAAGCUGUGAGGUACAAUUUUGGGGAUGGGAGCACAAUUACAACAGGAGGAUUGCUACGACUUUGACAAAGUCACUGAAAAAGAAAUUCCCAAACUGAAAUAAGAGACUCGAGAAGCUCGUCUUCUCCCACCUCCUGUACAUAACCAUAUUUUUGUAUUACCUUUCAGAGUAGAAAGAAAAAAAUGCAAAAUGGAUGAAGGAAAAUUCAUUGAUUAUAUGGAGUGAAUGUUCUUCAAGAAAACCAAUCUUUUUUUUUUAAUCUAGUUUGAGAUGGGACUCGCUGAGAGUUUAGUUUGCCAGUAGCCCUAAAGUAAUCGGGGAAGGAACGUAAAACCACGUGGACUGAGGUGGUGGCCAUGCUGCAGUGGCUCCAAGACUGACUGAUAGCUACUUAUCAAAAUGGAUGUUGCAGUGGCUACAAAGAGCCCACCAAGAGUGUUUGAUCAACACGCACAGUAAAGAGAUGGACACUGAUGACAGCCUCAAGAGCUGCAGAGUGACUACCGGAGGACAAGUGCUUGGCAUUGGAGUCUGGCUGUGCUUUAUUUGCUGCCCUCUGCAAGGAGGAUCUUAUCUACAGCCAACCCAUGAACCAGUGAACCCUAAACCUGUCCUUUUGAACUUAGACCCUAAGAAACUUUUUUUGACCUCAGUGUGGGCAGGCCAAUGGCAUUAUACGUUGGACAGAUGAAGUUACAGGUUUAUCAACUCUUCAUCCCCUUUUUGCUGGAAGUGUUCGGUUAAGGAUUUAAUCCCACACUCCAUCUAAGAAGAGGAUACAAAGGCUUGCGUUGCCCAGAAGUUCAUCAUCCACCUCAGCCGGAAAACUCUCGGAUGGUGGUCUUAAAGGUCUUCUAGCCAUUGGGACCGACGAGCCGCUCUCCUGCCCAGAUGUCAGAGACAGUGUGCUGGGAUGAGUUUUGGUGGACGUGGCCGGAUUACAUCUCAGCCAUCACAAAAGGCUGCUGCUGUGGAACUGGAUGAACUGAAAGAAUUGUACAAGGAAAAAAAGGACUUUUGAAAACAAAACACAAAACUAUCAUAUGUCACAUAAAUUCUCAAGUCCAAAGGAGCAGGCAGACACACUACAUGCACACUCACAGCUAAAGUUACAUUGGCUCUCCUCUGGAACAAUGUCUACACACACAUGCACACACACACCAGAGAUACACAAUAUCAAAUGACACAAAGACACACAAGCAUCAACGCCCAGCAGCAUAAACGCUGAGCUUUGUAAAUAAUGUAAAAGUUAGUGUUUUUUGAGUUUUCUCCAUAAUGGCUUUUGCUUUAUUUCUUUGUUCAACAUGCCUUAAAUUGUAUAGUUCAGUCUGAAAUGGCUUACUGAAAACGUUCUCAGUUUAAGUUGGAAACCACCUCGUUAACUGUACUCUAAAGAACGUUUUAACAAGACGUCUGUUCGCUGACAGACUUGUCCUGUAUAAAAGUGUAAAUGUGAUCUACUUUAAAGAUACUAGUUAACUAAAGAAUAGAGCAAUGAGGGCUUUUUGGUUGAUCUAAUUUUACUGGUGGUUGGAUUUUUGUUGCCCUUUUUUUUUCGUUUUGAUUCAAAUAAAGCGUGGAUUCGUUGAGAUUUCCUAUUUAGAUUACUGCUGAAGGUGCAGGCUUGACAAAGGGCUGAAGUCUGUGCUGCCUGGAGCUGGGCUUACUGGGUAAUAUGCAGAGGUUCAUCUCAGAGCACGCGCUUGUUGCUGUGUCGUAUCUGUCGUUGGAUACAGUCCUUGGCAAAACUGAACCAGAAUGGCAGGUCGUCCUCAAAUUGAUUUGUUUUCUUUACACUCCAGGGGACUAAAAUGUUUUAGGAGUUGGAUAUUUUUACAGUUUUGACAUAGUGAUUCUCACUUGUCUAAUGGGAGUGCUUGUAAGAACAAGCAUGUAUAAUGGUUGGUAAUAUUUGUGGGUUUGACACUAAGAUCUGUGUAUCUAAUAGUGCUGCUGACCAUCAGUGAUGGCACUGAAUCGAUACGGAAGCGACCAGGCUGUGGUGUGUCUGAAAUCUGAAAGGUCUUCUCGGACCGCGUCUUUACUCUGUAUGUCUCAUUGAAUUUAAGAGAUUCGUGUUUUUAGUCAUUCUAUAGUUUGUUUGUUUUUUCCUUCUUUAUAACCAAACAUAUGCAGUUUUUUAUCCAAAUGGAAACUGAUGUUUAUUGAAUACCGUCAGUUUAGACUUGUUAAAAGUUUCUGGUCAACUGUGGGUGUGGUGUGCAGUUUUCUUCUAUAGGUAAGUGAAAUAGCCACAGUUGGCAUCGGUAUGUCAUAACUGUUGAAUUGAUAUUGAAUUAUUACUUUAAAUGUUAUCACAUUUUUUAAAAAGCUGAUACUGUGAUGGAUGAAUCAUCAGUCUAUUUUACUGCACUACAAAAGCUUUUAUGAUCAGAGAAACCACAGUAUUGUGUCUAAAGACCCUGGUUGAUGAGCAGCUUGACCCGCCUGCUUCAGGAUAGAAAGUAUAGAUGGAAAGAUUACCUGGUUCAGUUUUGCUGGUUACUGUAACACCGACUGUAAAGAUGGACUCAUGGGUAUACCCCAGUCAGUCCAGCUCCUUCACUUAAUACGUCUUUGAAUGUUGUUAAAAUAACAGCAUACAUGUAAUGAAAAUGUUUUGGAAAAGAACAACUGAAAAGAAGUGUAAAUAGUUUGGCUUUUGUUUGAAGAACAAAAUAAAUACUAAAUAAAUAGCAUUUAGCUGUGA